ensembl:misc_RNA Metazoa_SRP Metazoan signal recognition particle RNA
GCCGGGCGUGGUGGCUCACGCCUGUAAUCCCAACACUUUGGGAGGCUGAGGCAGGCGAAUCACUUGAGCCCAGGAGUUCGAGACCAGCCUGGGCAACAUGGUGAAACCCCGUCUCUA